rnacentral:lncRNA from 1 species
CCACGGUGGAAUUGAGAGAGUGGUGCGCGGGUUCAUUUGAAAUCAAAACCCACUUCGACUUCCAGUCAUCUAUUUCCUUCAUCUCCUUCUCGCACGCAAACCUCUCGUUCUUCCCUUGCCUUCUCGCUAAAAGGGGUUUUUGUCGCAGUCCUCUCGUUCCCGCUGUCGUCCCUCCCUCAUCUCCUUUCACCAAGGUGACCACUCAGGUGACACCUCUGCCUCCCUUGUGUUCUCUAUUCCUCCUCUCAGUCCAAUCGAAGGUCUCUUCCAUUAUCCUCUUUCUUUGUCGUGCCUCGCUCGUGUAGGUUGACGAACCCUAGCAUUCAUCUCCCAAGCAAGGUACUCUGUCAUUCCGUGCGACACAAUUUUGUUUCCUUGUCUUGUCCCAUCCGUCACUGCCAGGCUGAUAUAGCACGUUGUGCUGGUAAGAAACGUAUUUUUUUUUUUUUUUUGUUAAAAGGCAUAAAUGGGGUUAUUUUUGUGUUUGUGGUUUAGGGUUUCUUGAUUUUAAUAAAGUGUUUGUGGCAUAGAAAUUUUUUGAAUGAUUGGGUUUAGGGUUUAAUUUGGUUUUCGAAACCCCUCUGUUGCGUGUGAAGUAAUUGUUAAGAAGGUUUUUGGUGAAUACGUUGACUGGAGGUUCUUGGUGUAUAUUUUGUGAAUGUUGUGAUUGCUGUAAUUCCAGUAAGGUAUGUAUGUUUUUGAGUCGUUGUUUGUUUUUCCUUUGGAAAGGGUUACCUAAUCUUACUUACACGUUCAUUGAUUGUUUUGAGGCAUUCGUGCCGUACCAGUAGUUUGAAUAAGAAGUUGUCAUUUCAACAAAAAUCGUUAAUUGCAGGUACACCAUUUAGAUGGUUCACACAGUUGAGUGAGUCUGUGAAGAUAAAUAGAAAUGUUUUAAGUGAGUUAUGUAGUGAAUGGAUGGGAAGGAGGGGUGGGUUUUUAAUUAGAUCUGAUGUUGUUGGUUUUAAUUUGUGAGAUGUCUGUGUAGGAAUUAGGGUUGAGGGUUGUUAGAGAUAAGAUUUAUUUAGAUAAGAUAGACAUAGUUAUCGAGUGUAGGAAGUUGUUUGAUACGAAAAAUGUUGACGUUAAUAUGAUAUUCAAUUUCAUUAUGAAUCCGCCUGAACAUCUUAGUUUAGAAGACGUUUGUAAGGUUGAAACCUACAAUGUAGUUUUUACUUACAAUUGUCAGCUGGUCCCACAACUAUUUAAAAGUUGAUUUAAUACAUCAUUUGGUUCCUUCUUAUGGGGUUUGGUUCAAAAUGAUCUCAUCUUUGAAAAAAGUUCACUAAGAUUCCAUAUUUUAUUAAAAAAUGUUCAAUAUGGUCCUUUUUAUAGAUGUCGUUAAAAUCAUAACGAUGCAGAUGCUAGCGUGGUGAAACCUUAAUUAGCUGCUUAUUUCGAUGCUUACGUGGCGCUGUGAAGUCAUUUUAAUGUGUAAAUAUUUAAGAAAAAAACGUAAAAUAGUUUAAGUUUGGAUUAAAGUCAAAAACCCUGAUCUGAUUAUGCCAUUUUUGGGUUCAAAGUUGUUGUGAAAUUGGUGAUGGCUGCUGAUUCCUUGAAGGUGUAAGUGGAACAUCGUACGUACAUGAGGUAAGCGAUCCUAAUCUAAGCCUAAUUAGUUGAUGUUCUUGUUGUUUUAUUUGGGGGUUAGGGUUUAAUUUGAUUUUGUGUUAAAUAUAGGUAUUUUUUUCAAUUGAUGAUACUUUUGGAGGUAUAAAUUUGUUGUUUAAAUAUUUUUUGUUGAAUUUGGGGGUAUAAAUUUGGGGAUUAGGGUUUAAUUUGAUUUUAUGUUAAAUAUACGUAUUUUGUUCGAUUGACAAUGAUUUUGGGGGUAUAAAUUUGUUGUUUAAGUAUUUUCUUUUGAAUUUGGGAGUAUAAAUUUAGGGGUUAGGGUUUAAUUUGAUUUUGUUGUUUAUCCUUUUCUGUAACUUUUGAACUAAAAUUUUCAUAUCACAAAUCCGCCCAUAACCACUAUACUAAAAAAAUUUGAACAACUUGAACGAACCCUAACCACCCCUUUUAUUAGACAUAAUAACCUCAACUUUAAACAUUUCCACUAACUCACUUCACUUCAGGGUGUCACGUAAUCAUUCAACUAAACAACUCACUAAGAUUUGGCCACAGUGGUAUCUGCACCGUUAUGAUUUUAAUGACGUCUACGAAAAGGACCAUAUUGAAUAUUUUUUAAUGAAAUAUGAGAUCUUAAUGAACUUUUUUCAAAAAUGAGAUCAUUUUGAAUCAAACUCCCAAAAAAAGAGACCAAAUGAUGUAUUAAACCUUAAAAAUUAAACUCAGACAUAGUUAGUUAGUGACAAUGUAGUUAACUUUUAGUCUAGUCAGCUCAUCUCUUUCGUAAUGUCAUAUAUGCGCCUUUAAUUCUUCUUAAAUUUACUCACAAAAAAUCAUCCUCUUCUUCUUCUUUGCCAACACCGUGAUCAUCAACAUUGAGGGUUCCACGAACAAUGUAUUUUGAUUUGUCUUCAUCAGUUGGAGCCCAUUCCCAAAAAAUUUGAAAUAACAAACAAAACUUGACAAACAAAUCCUACAACUAAAUGUCAACAAGUUAUUAAUUGAAAGAAAAUACCUCCCGUUUAAGGAAGGACGUUUCACCCUGUACUUACAAGGUUUCAUCCUACUCUCCAAAAUCUUUCUAGACCUAAAACAUCUUUGAAAAUAGUGUGGUGUGGAGAGGUGUGUUACGUGAACUUUGAAGGGAGGAGUGAAUGACUUUUGGUUUGCACAAGUCAAAUAAAGUGAGAGAUAUAAGGAGUGAGGUCCACGACAAUUCUGAGAAAAGGUGAGUGAAGUGUGGUUUUAUUUAAUUGAAUGGAAAAAACAAAAGAGAAAGAGGGAAGGAAGAGAGUGGUAAAGAAGAUUUAAUGAGAAAUGAGUGUUUCAAGUAUGGUCCACUUGGUGAGAGAAAAAUGAAGUUUGCUUUUAAAUUAAGAAGAUUAGUGAGGUCGAGUUGUGUUGGUAAAGUUAAAAGAGAGUGUAUUUAAGAUAAUAAGUACAUUAAAAAUGUGUUGUGUUGUGAAUUUAGUAAAAACAUGGGUGCACUAGAAAUAUUUGUUCUAUGGACAGGUUGUGAACUUAAUAAUUUUGUGGGGGGUGUGUCAGUAGAAAAGUAUUUAAAUCAUUUAAUUGUGAAAAUUAAUUUAUUAAUUAUUUGUGAAUUUUAAUUAAUUGUUGGCCAAUAAAUUUGGUUGACUUUGUACAUGGUACUAGAAAAUAUGUAUGGUUGUGAUGGUGAUAUUGUGAGAGCGAGCAUUCUGUUAUUUCCUUAGAAUAUUUGUCGAACGAAUGAUUUUCGUAUUGCGAUACGAUGGUGUGUUGAGUCUUUGCGAAGAUUGAGAUUUGAGUGUCACCCUUCCUCGUGUGCAAGGACUUGAGAGGGUUGGAUGUCUUGCCCAAUAACUUCGGCUCGUGUUGAGUAUAAUGCUCAGUGAGUGCACCUAACCGAAGUUUUUACUCGUUUGUCCUUGAGUAGUUGGGGAGAUAUGUUUGAAGUUGUAGAUGACUCAAAUCGUCCUGUUUUGCGAAACAGGUUUGGUACGACAAAAUCCAAGGAAACAACAGAAGCUUGUGUGAAUGAUCUGAGUCAUGUUUUGAUUACUGUGAUGUAUUGUAAUGUUAUGACUAUGAUAGUCUGUGUUGUGGUGAAUGAACAUUGAAAUUGUAUGCUAUGUUAUAUUUUUAGUUACUCACCCUUUCCUUUUGUGGUUGUGGUUCCAUCUGCAAUGAUUGUACUUGUACGAGAGUAGAUGACAUCGCAGAUAAGGCAGGACUGAAGUUGCGCGACGAGAGAAAUGUGAACUAGGUACUGCUGGGAAUUUCUUAUGUUUUAAAGUUGUUUUAUAUUUUUGGAACAAUGGAUUUAAAUAUUUGUAAGGUUUGAGCUUUAUGUUAUAAGAUGUUUCAACAAUUAAGGUUUUUUGUUUUCCGUGACGUUAUAUAAACGAAAAAAAAAUUGGCAUAAUUUUGUAUUUUAUAAAUUAACACGUGACACUCUGUUAUGCCACUAGUAAGUAAC